GGGAGGCUUUGGGCAUUUCUUGAUGUGAAAAAGAAGAGAAGAGUCCUUCUUUGGGUGAGGGCAAAAUCUAGUUUUCUAGGAUUUGAUCUCAGGGUUUGGGAAGAGAAAAAAAUAAGAGAAAAAAUUAUUCCUCUCCAUAUUUCUUCCUCCUCUUCAUCUCCUCUAGAUAUCCAUCUUCAACCUCUAAAAAGCUUCGAGAGAUUUGAAGAAAGGAUCCAGAUCAGUCAAGAAGAUGAUCUUCGCGCGAGCUAGCACUCCCGAGAAGAUCGAUCAGAUCGAAGCUUUGAGUGGACUUUCUGUAGAGAUCGGAUACCUGUGCGACUGUGAGCAAUCAGUAAAGAUCAUC
rnacentral:lncRNA from 1 species